rnacentral:rRNA from 1 species
GGAUUGCCUUAGUAGCGGCGAGUGAAGCGGCAAAAGCUCAAAUUUGAAAUCUGGCACUUUCAGUGUCCGAGUUGUAAUUUGAAGAAGGUAUCUUUGGGUCUGGCUCUUGUCUAUGUUUCUUGGAACAGAACGUCACAGAGGGUGAGAAUCCCGUGCGAUGAGAUGACCCAGACCUAUGUAAAGUUCCUUCGAAGAGUCGAGUUGUUUGGGAAUGCAGCUCUAAGUGGGUGGUAAAUUCCAUCUAAAGCUAAAUAUUGGCGAGAGACCGAUAGCGAACAAGUACAGUGAUGGAAAGAUGAAAAGAACUUUGAAAAGAGAGUGAAAAAGUACGUGAAAUUGUUGAAAGGGAAGGGCUUGAGAUCAGACUUGGUAUUUUGUAUGUUACUCUCUCGGGGGUGGCCUCUACAGUUUACCGGGCCAGCAUCAGUUUGGGCGGUAGGACAAUUGCAAAGAAAUGUGGCACUGCCUCGGUAGUGUGUUAUAGUCUUUGUCGAUACUGCCAGCCUAGACUGAGGACUGCGGCUUCGGCCUAGGAUGUUGGCAUAAUGAUCUUAAGUCGCCCGUCUUGAACACGGACCAA